GAGCAAGCGUUGUUCGGAUUUACUGGGCGUAAAGGGCGCGUAGGCGGCCACCGCAAGUCGACUGUGAAAUCUCCGGGCUUAACCCGGAAAGGUCAGCCGAUACUGCGGGGCUAGAGUGCAGAAGGGGCAACUGGAAUUCUCGGUGUAGCGGUGAAAUGCGUAGAUAUCGAGAGGAACACCUGCGGCGAAGGCGGGUUGCUGGGCUGACACUGACGCUGAGGCGCGAAAGCUAGGGGAGCAAACAGG
rnacentral:rRNA from 1 species